AGAGUUUGAUCAUGGCUCAGGACGAACGCUGGCGGUGUGCUUCACACAUGCAAGUCGAACGGGGUAGCAAUACCCAGUGGCGGACGGGUGAGUAACGCGUAGGAAUCUGCCUUUAGGUGGGGGAUAGCGGACCGAAAGGUCCAUUAAUACCGCAUAUGUGUACAUUUCGACAGUCUUGUACAUAAAAGGAGUAAUCCGCC
rnacentral:rRNA from 1 species